rnacentral:lncRNA from 1 species
CCAGCCAACAGACUCUAUUGACCGAAGACUUGGGGGACUACACUAUGUACCAUAUAUUGGGCCUCAUGAAAAAUACUUGGGGGACUCUAGCCCAUUAUUUAUGUAUUGAAGAGUGAACCCUUAUUCUAUAAAAGUGACUCCCUCACCAACAUUAGAGAGUAUCAACUCUAGCUCAUUAUUCAUGUAUUGAGGAGUGAGCCCUUAUUCUAUAAAAUGGACUCCCUCACCAUCAUUAGAGAGUAUCGCCACCUACUAAGCAACCACCUCACCGCGAGCAUCAACUCUAGCCCAUAUUUAUGUAUUGAGGAACGAGCCCUUAUUCUAUAAAAGGGAUUCCCUUACCUCCAACGCCACAAGCCGAGCCAACCAAGGCAACAUAAGCCACAAGCCUCGCAACCUCGCAACAUGUGCUACUUCUAGUUGAGCAUCAUUUCACAUUGAGCACCACCUCGUAUCGAGUAUUCAGUUCUAGACGACAUCUAGUUACUUCGGCCUACACAUGGACUGAAUUUCAAGUCUCCAGCCAGAAGACUCUCUUGACUGAAGACUUGGGGGACUACUGUUUGUACCAUACUUAGGGCUUCCGUAUUUAGAUCUCGUAUAAAUACUCGGGGGACUCAAAUGUAAUUAUGUAAUAAGGGAAGGGAUAAAUAUGUAAUAAGUGAGGAGCCCUUAUUCUAUAAAAUGACCACUCACCCUCACAAUUAGAAGGGCCUCACUCUCACCUUCAGAGUCCAACUUUUAGGCCUGAAGCCCCCUCACCCUCUCAGAUCCCCUCUCACAUUACAAAGGUUCUCUCCCUCACAAUCAUCUCAGAGAAAUACAAUAUCAGUGUGGACGUAGCCCAAACAUUGGGGUGAACCACGAUACAUCUUGUGUUAUUUACAUUUCUUGCAGAUUCACGGUUGGAUUUACGUUGUUCCAACACCUCCGGUUUUGUGCAUCAACAAAAAUCAAUUAAACUUCAUCAAAAUCCAUGAUUUUUUAAAUCUGUUAAAAUCCCUCAAAAUUCCAAUUAAAUACAAAAAAGAAAGAUGGGGAUUUGAAUAUGUUUUCCUUUGUAACUACAAGUGUCAAUCGCGAACUUAGUUGUUGAUAUUUUAAUUAUACUUUGUUUGUACCAUACUUAGGGUCUUCGUAUUUAGACCUCGUAUAAAUACUUGGAGACUCAAAUGUAAUUAUGUAAUGAAUAAAGGGGUAAAUAUGUAAUAAGUGAGGAGCCCUUAUUCUAUAAAAUGACUCAUCACUCUCAUCAUUUAGAGGGGUGAAGGUUUUUGGCCUAUAGCCUUAGAGAGAAAACAGAAAAUAGCCUAGAGAGCACUGCCUCUAGCCUUCUUGUAUAUUAGCCAUUCAGAGUGAAACAAUAUCAACAUCAGUGUGGAUGUAGCCCAAACAUUGGGGUGAACCACGAUACAUCUUGUGUUCUUUACUUUCUUGCAGAUUCACGGUCAGAUUUACGUUGUUCCAAGACCCCUCCAGUUUGUGCAUCAACAUUUGGCGCCGUCUGUGGGAAACGACACGAAAAGUUAUGUCGGUUCUCUUUCAUUUUUUUCAUCUCACCACCAUGAGACCUUACCACAAUAUUCACCGUGAAUUUGCAAAAAAAAAACCCAGGAAACCAAAUACUUUAUCUCUCACUCUGCUAUCCUCUUACAAAAAAAAAUCAUAAAAACCAAGAACACCACUCUCUCUUUCUAAAUACCCAGAAAGCCCAUCUCUCUGUUUUAAAGAAGAAGAAGAAAACAAAAAUGCGGCUGUGGAUACUUUGAUGGGUCCUCCUCGCGUCACUAUCCAACAUGAAGCUGCGCUGCCGUUGCCGCUGCUGCUUCUGCUGUCCUUGCUAUUUCUGCU